rnacentral:lncRNA from 1 species
GGUGUGUGCUACAAUCGAACAGGAGAAAGGAAAAAGGGGGUGUGAACCCUAAACCUCAAGAAAUCAUCAAAUUGAAAAGGGAAUCAAGGGCUGAUUGUAUGCAUGAACCAAGGAUGGUGAUCCCUUAAACAUUUCUAACAUCAACGUAGGAGCCAUGUCAACAUGGACACGAGCAUGGAAGGGCAAUGGGUCAACGGUAAAUACGGAAGCUAUGCAUGAACUCGGACGCACGAGGUAGCGUUAGUUAAUUGAGCAUGGUGAUGAUUGAAGUUUGAUAUGGUUUUGGUUGUAUGAAAUCGGUUAUUUUAGCUAAGUAGACCGAACGGGACAAUAUAAAGUUGUAAUGAUAU